GUAGUCUGCAACUCGACUACAUGAAGCUGGAAUCGCUAGUAAUCGCGGAUCAGAAUGCCGCGGUGAAUACGUUCCCGGGCCUUGUACACACCGCCCGUCACACCAUGAGAGUCGGGAACACCCGAAGUCCGUAGCCUAACCGCAAGGGGGGCGCGGCCGAAGGUGGGUUCGAUAAUUGGGGUGAAGUCGUAACAAGGUAAC
rnacentral:rRNA from 1 species